CUGGAAUCCUGGUCUGUUUGUUAGUGUCGGUACUGUGGCUCCUGUAAGAUAAACCAUAGAAACUAAUGUAACCAGUGUCUGGAAUCCUGGUCUGUUUGUUAGCUGUGGUACUGUGGCUCCUGUAAGAUAAACCAUAGAAACUAAUGUAACCAGUGUCUGGAAUCCUGGUCUGUUUGUUAGCUGUGGUACUGUGGCUCCUGUAAGAUAAACCAUAGACACUAAUGUAACCAGUGUCUGGAAUCCUGGUCUGUUUGUUAGCUGUGGUACUGUGGCUCCUGUAAGAUAAAUCAUAGAAACUAAUGUAACCAGUAUCUGGAAUCCUGGUCUGUUUGUUAGCUGUGGUACUGUGGCUCCUGUAAGAUAAACCAUAGACACUAAUGUAACCAGUGUCUGGAAUCCUGGUCUGUUUGUUAGCUGUGGUACUGUGGCUCCUGUAAGAUAAACCAUAGAAACUAAUGUAACCAGUGUCUGGAAUCCUGGUCUGUUUGUUAGCUGUGGUACUGUGGCUCCUGUAAGAUAAACCAUAGAAACUAAUGUAACCAGUGUCUGGAAUCCUGGUCUGUUUGUUAGCUGUGGUACUGUGGCUCCUGUAAGAUAAACCAUAGAAACUAAUGUAACCAGUGUCUGGAAUCCUGGUCUGUUUGUUAGCUAGGU